rnacentral:rRNA from 1 species
GGGGAAUCUUGCGCAAUGGGCGAAAGCCUGACGCAGCGACGCCGCGUGAGUGAUGAAGGCCUUCGGGUUGUAAAGCUCUGUGGAGAGGGACGAAUAAGUCGGAACGAACAGCUCCGAUGAUGACGGUACCUCUUUAGCAAGCACCGGCUAACUCUUUGCCAGCAGCCGCGGUAAGACAGAGGGUGCAAACGUUGUUCGGAAUUACUGGGCGUAAAGCGCGUGUAGGCUGCUUCGCAAGUCGGGUGUGAAAGCCCUGGGCUCAACCUAGGAAGUGCACUCGAAACUGCGGAGCUCGAGUCUCGGAGAGGAUCGCGGAAUUCUCGGUGUAGAGGUGAAAUUCGUAGAUAUCGAGAGGAACACCGGUGGCGAAGGCGGCGAUCUGGACGAUGACUGACGCUGAGACGCGAAAGCGUGGGGAGCAAAC